rnacentral:tRNA from 1 species
GAGGGUAUAGCUCAGUGCUCAAUGGUAGAGUGCAUGCUUAGCAUGCAUGAAGUUCUGGGUCCAAUCCCCAGUACCUCCA